GACGUAGGGGGCGAGCGUUGUCCGGAAUUACUGGGCGUAAAGAGAACGUAGGCGGGAACUUAAGUCAGGUGUGAAAGACCGUGGCUCAACCACGGGGUGGCAUUUGAAACUGGGUUUCUUGAGGGCAGGAGAGGAAAGCAGAAUUCCUGGUGUAGCGGUGAAAUACGUAGAAAUCAGGAGGAAUACCAGUGGCGAAGGCGGCUUUCUGGACUGACCCUGACGCUGAGGUGCGAAAGCGUGGGUAGCAAACAGGAUUAGAUACCCUGGUAGUCCCUGAGCGGGCU
rnacentral:rRNA from 1 species